CAUUUGUUUCAUUUGACUUUGGGGCAAAUUUAACUUUUCCAUUCAAAUCUUGCGUGAAAUCAGUUUCCUCAUCUUUGCCGAGAAAGCGCUUCUCUUCUUUUUGAGUUGAUUUACGGCGUGCCAUAUCUUGUUCAUAAAGGGAAAAUUAUCCGAUGCCGGGUUCAUUUUGCUGAAAGCAAUGGGUUCAGGAAAUAUGGGUCAAUUUCUUUACUAAUAUCUCUCGGUCGCGAGUUCCAGUCGUCGCGAUUGGCGUUCUGUGAAAUAUCCAACAUUGGGUUCAUUUUGGAAGCAAAGCAGAAGUCGAAAUCUGGUUUGAGACAAAGAGAUGAUGAACAAAGGUAUUCCCCUUUCCCAUUUUAGUUUGAUACUGAUUUAGGGUUUAGGGACAAAGGUAUACUAUGUGAGAUGAAUGUGUAAUCGUAAAAACCUACCAAUACUGGUAAUAAGGCUGCUAAUGUAGAAGAUAAAUUUUGUCAGAUAAAAGGGAAAAAAUAUUGUUGCUUCAUUUGGUUUCAUAGAAUGUAUGAGUUAAACAAGUAAAGAAUUUGCUGAUAUAUGCUUCGUAGAAUGAUGAGGGCAUCUGAGAAAUGGGAUAACUCAUCAGUUAAACGUCACUAUCAAUUCAAGCUUUUAUGAAUUUUUGCUUUUGUAUUUUAUAAUGCACUUUCUUCUUUUGAUUUCCCUUUCUAUGUUGGGCCAAGAGAGGUAGCAUCAGAACCAUACCAAAAACAACAGAAGCGAAAGGAUUUUCGGAAGAGGCAGACAACGAUAUCUCGUUAGAAUCAGAUAACGAGAAGAUGUUGGAAAGUGUGAAUGUAGUGGACGAUAGAAUUGUAGGACUAUAUGGUAUGAUUGUGCCCGAAGUAGGUAUGAAGUUCAGCGAUGAAAAAGAAAUGUUUGAUUUUUACAAACGAUAUACGUACAACGUAGGCUUUCCGGUUAGGAAAGAAAUUCGCAAAAGGACGAUGAUGGAAUUGUAAGAUAUGUUGUGUUUCAAUGUAGCCGUGAAGGUCAUAGAAGUAGUAACACAAGCGGUUCUAUGAAGAUGUAAGCUACCAUUCAAACGGGUUGUAAAGCUAGGUUGACUGUAUCAUUAGAUGCGUGCGGAGUAUGGAAAAUUAACACAGUCAAUCUCAUUCACAAUCAGAUAACGAGAAGAUGUUGGAAAGUGCGAAUGUAGUGGACGAUGGAAUUGUAGGACUAUAUGGUAUGAUUGUGCCCGAAGUAGGUAUGAAGUUCAGCGAUGAAAAAGAAAUGUUUGAUUUUUACAAACGAUAUACGUACAACGUAGGCUUUCCGGUUAGGAAAGAAAUUCGCAAAAGGAUGAUGAUGGAAUUGUAAGAUAUGUUGUGUUUCAAUGUAGCCGUGAAGGUCAUAGAAGUAGUAACACAAGCGGUUCUAUGAAGAUGUAAGCUACCAUUCAAACGGGUUGUAAAGCUAGGUUGACUGCAUCAUUAGAUGCGUGCGGAGUAUGGAAAAUUAACACAGUCAAUCUCAUUCACAAUCGUAAAACCAGCCAUUCGAAGUCUAGGUUGUAUCGUUGCAACCAAGAAUUGAGUGUUCAUGUCAAACGACGGAUUGAAGUGAAUGACAUGGCAGGGAUUCCUUUGCAUAAAAGUUACAAUUCAGCGGUUGUAGAAGCAGGGGGUAUGAGAAUAUGACUUGCAUUGAAAAGGAUUGUCGAAAUUAUGUUGAACAAGUAAGGCGAUUAAGACUGCGCAAAGGAGAUGCUGUAGCAAUUCAGUCAUACUUUUCGAACAUGCAAUCAAGGUGCUCUGUUUUUUUUUUUUUUUUAGUAUGGAUUUAGAUAAAGAGUCACGGUCGAGGAUUAUUUUCUGGGCAGAUAAUAGGAGUAGGCUGGCAUAUAAGGAGUUUGGGGAUUUGUGACAUUCGAUACCACAUACAUAACUAACAAGUAUGACAUGCCAUUUGCGCCUUUUGUUGGAGUUAAUCAUCAUGGGCAAUCAACACUCCUUGGUUGUGGUUUGUUGUCAAACGAAAAUACAGAAACAUUUGUGUGACUUUUCAAGACUUGGCUUCAGUGUAUGCAUGGACAAGCACUCCUUGGUAUUAUUACCGAUCGAGACAAGUCCAUGCAGAAUGCAAUUCAGAUUGUGUUCCCGAACACAAAAUAUAGAUGGUGUUUGUGGUACAUAUUGAAGAAGUUGCCAGAGAAGUUUGGACACCACAGCGACAAGGGUGAAAUCUUUUUUGCCAUACAUGUACUGAUAUGAAACCGUUGACGAAUUUGAAGAGGGUUGGAGUGCGAUAAUAGAGAAGUAUAAUUUGCAUGACAAUGACUGGUUGUCGGGAUUGUAUUCGAACAAGGGCCGUUGGGUACCUUGCUAUUUGAAAUGUAUGUUCUGGGCUGGAAUGUCAACUACUCAACACAGUGAGAUCAUGAAUGCAUUCUUCGACGGGUAUGUGCACUCUGAGACGUCGCUGAAGCAAUUUGUUGAAAAAUACGAGCGAGCUUUGAGGAAUAAUGUAGAGAAAGAGUUCCAGGUAGAUUUCAAAUCUUACUCACAAAUGGUUCCAUGUGCAACAAAAUGUGAGCUAGAGAAGCAAUUUCAACUAGUUUAUACCAUCUCAAAAUUUAGGGAAGUUUAGGAUGAGUUCAUUGGGAAGGUCUACUUUGAUCUCAUAUCUUCGUCGGAGUACUUUUUAGGAACGAGGUAUGAGGUAUAGGAAGAUGUCAUACUUGAUGAUCGAUUGAAGAAAAAGAGCUGUUACGUCACUUUUGAAAAGGAGAAAUGUGAAAUCGUAUGUAGUUGUCACCUCUUCGAGUUUUGAGGAAUAAUUUGUAGGCAUGCGAUUGCUGUACUCAUCCGUAAUAAUAUCACUUCACUGCCCGACUCCUACAUAUUACGGAGAUGGAGAAGAGAUGUGAAUAGGGCUCACACCAAGGUCGCAGCCAACUACAAUGGUUUGAGUAGCAGUCCAGCCCAAUUGAGAUAUGACAAAUUGUGUUAAUCAUUUGCUUCUCUUGCGAACUUGGUUGCAGAUGAUGAUGAGGAAAGUCGUCAGGUAAUGGAAUGGAUAGAUUGCAAAGAACGAACAGUGGGUUUGACGAGGUCGACUAGUGGAAGUAAUAGCUUAGCGCAGUAGGCUUCUCAGAUAGCGUUAGAUGAUGGAACAUCACAUCACUCUGUCAAAUGAAGUGUACAGGACCCGAAAUGCUCGAACAGAAAAGGUGCACCAAAGAAACUCCGAAGGAAAAGUUGUUUGGAAUCAAAUUCCAUUAACGCAAAGUCCCGUCUAACUUCAGUUAAGGAAAGGAAACGAAGGCAGGCCCAAGUAAACUGGGAGAAGUUGAAUUGAUCUCAUACUCCAUGCAAGCACCAGUCUCAUAUUCACAACUCCUGAUGGGUGCUGCCGAAAGUCAUGUAUUUACACAACAACAAAUGUCUCCCAAUUUCAUCCCAUUGGAUCCAACAAAUGCUAUGUUGUAUGGUCCAGUUGAAAAUGCAAUGCCUAAUUACUAUCCACAUGUACCUAACCGACCUGGACCGAACUUGUGAUGCUAGAUGAAGACAAAGGGCUUAUGGGCUAUGGCUCGUUCAAGCAAAACAUUCUCAGAACUGAUGAGUGCUGGUUUGAACGUUGGACCAAACAUUAUUGUCAUAAUUAAGGGCUCCAAUUAUGACAUACAAUAGUUUAUUGCACAACUUGAAGAAUACUGAUAUCAUGUGGGAUGUAUACACUGAAAUUAAAGCCAGUGGGAUAUGUCUAAGUGAAUACACAAAUGCGAUUAUCCUAGAUGGUCUAUGCAGACAGUCCUUGAUACAUGAAGCAGUUUUAUUUCUGCAGGAGACUAAAGAAAAAGAGCCCCAUGCUUCUAUUGUUUUGUUUAAUAAUCUGAUUUUCGGAUUCUGUAAAAUGGGUUUUGUAGAUAUUGCAAAAUCAUUCUUUUGUAUGAUGUUUAAGUAUGGAUUAUUUCCUGA